rnacentral:lncRNA from 1 species
AUGGGUAUAAAAAGCAUGUAUGGGCCGGCGCCACGGCUCACUAGGCUAAUCCUCCGCCUAGCGGCGCCGGCACACCGGGUUCUAGUCCCGGUCGGGGCGCCGGAUUCUGUCCCGGUUGCCCCUCUUCCAGGCCAGCUCUUUGCUGUGGCCCGGGAGUGCAGUGGAGGAUGGCCCAAGUGCUUGGGCCCUGCACCCCAUGGGAGACCAGGAAAAGCACCUGGCUCCUGGCUCCUGCCAUCGGAUCAGCGCGGUGUCCCGGCCACAGUGCGCCGGCCGCGGCGGCCAUUGGAGGGUGAACCAACGGCAAAGGAAGACCUUUCUCUCUGUCUCUCUCUCUCUCACUGUCCACUCUGCCUGUCAAAAAAAAAAAAAAAAAAGGCACAGUGUGGUGCCCAGGUGGCCUCACAGGAGUUGGGGUGUAGGCUCACACACAGGGAGGAGCAGCAGCAGACUCAGGAAGACACGGGGUCUCAAGCCAACAAGAGGACAUCAGACAGAAUGAAUGUGAGCGUGGACUUCAGUCCCCAGAACUUUUCUGAACAUGUCACGUCGAUGGAACGAUAUAAUCAGAGUUCUGUUGUGUCUGGCUUCUCGCUCUGGGGAUUUUCCAAGGUUCGUCCAUGUGGGAGCGUGAAACAGGACUUUGCUCCCCCUUUUCGUGGCAGGGUAAUAUUCCAUUGUGUGGAUCGACCUAUUCUGGACAUUUUGUGUGAAGAUAGUCAUAAGCUAUGUGGCUUUGCAAGGUGGAUUCUAGUUUUUAUUUAUUUAUUUAUUUUUAUUUUAUUUUAUUUUUUGACAGGCAGAGUGGACAGUGAGAGAGAGAGACAGAGAGAAAGGUCUUCCUUUGCCGUUGGUUCACCCUGCAAUGGCCGCCACGGCCAGCGCGCUGUGGCCGGCGCACUGCGCCUAUCCGAAGGCAGGAGCCAGGUGCUUCUCCUGGUCUCCCAUGGGGUGCAGGGCCCAAGCACCUGGGCCAUCCUCCACUGCACUCCCUGGCCACAGCAGAGAGCUGGCCUGGAAGAGGGGCAACCGGGACAGAAUCCGGCGCCCCGACCGGGACUAGAACCCGGUGUGCCGGCGCCGCAAGGCAGAGGAUUAGCCUAA